rnacentral:ncRNA from 1 species
UUUAUGGAGAGUUUGAUCCUGGCUCAGGACGAACGCUGGCGGCGUGCCUAAUACAUGCAAGUCGAGCGGACUUGAAGGAGUGCUUGCACUCCUGAUAGUUAGCGGCGGACGGGUGAGUAACACGUAGGCAACCUGCCCGUAAGACUGGGAUAACAUUCGGAAACGAAUGCUAAUACCGGAUACGCGAUUUUCUCGCAUGAGGAAAUCGGGAAAGAAGGAGCAAUCUUUCACUUACGGAUGGGCCUGCGGCGCAUUAGCUAGUUGGUGGGGUAAUGGCUCACCAAGGCGACGAUGCGUAGCCGACCUGAGAGGGUGAUCGGCCACACUGGGACUGAGACACGGCCCAGACUCCUACGGGAGGCAGCAGUAGGGAAUCUUCCGCAAUGGACGAAAGUCUGACGGAGCAACGCCGCGUGAGUGAAGAAGGC